AGGGUUAGUCGGUCCCUAAGGCGAGGCUGAAGAGCGUAGUCGAUGGGAAACAGGUUAAUAUUCCUGUACUUCUAGUUACUGCGAUGGAGGGACGGAGAAGGCUAGGCCAGCUUGGCGUUGGUUGUCCAAGUUUAAGGUGGUAGGCAGAGAUCUUAGGUAAAUCCGGGGUCUUAAUGCCGAGAGCUGAUGACGAGUCAUCUUUUAGAUGAUGAAGUGGUUGAUGCCAUGCUUCCAGGAAAAGCUUCUAAGCUUCAGGUAACUAGGAACCGUACCCCAAACCGACACAGGUGGUUGGGUAGAGAAUACCAAGGCGCUUGAGAGAACUCGGGUGAAGGAACUAGGCAAAAUGGCACCGUAACUUCGGGAGAAGGUGCGCCGGCGAGGGUUAAGGAUUUACUCCGUAAGCCCAUGCCGGUCGAAGAUACCAGGCCGCUGCGACUGUUUAUUAAAAACACAGCACUCUGCAAACACGAAAGUGGACGUAUAGGGUGUGACGCCUGCCCGGUG
rnacentral:rRNA from 1 species